UUUGGGAGAAUUUGCGGCGCCACGCCCUGAGCAGCGCGGCAGAGGCCAGCCGCCAAGGGGGCAUGCAGCCCCCGGGAGCUUGACUUGUAAGAGCUUCCAUCUGACACGCCUCUGGGAGUGCCCGCCUCUCUGGUGGGAAGGUCCAUUAGCCACGGUUCUGAAGUUCCGGCUCGGGGCUCCGUAAAGUGGAUUGGAGCUUAGGCCUUGGGGUGAGACGUUUCCGGGCUCCAGGGUGAUCUGUCUGGCCACCUCCUGGCCUACCUGAGCCUCAGCCCUAUUUUUGUCAUUGUUGGUUUUGUGACCCUCAUCAUAUUCAAGCGGGAGCUACACACG
rnacentral:lncRNA from 1 species